ACAUCCACGGAAGUUUUCAGAGAUGAGAAUGUGCCUUCGGGAACCGUGAGACAGGUGCUGCAUGGCUGUCGUCAGCUCGUGUUGUGAAAUGUUGGGUUAAGUCCCGCAACGAGCGCAACCCUUAUCCUUUGUUGCCAGCGGUCCGGCCGGGAACUCAAAGGAGACUGCCAGUGAUAAACUGGAGGAAGGUGGGGAUGACGUCAAGUCAUCAUGGCCCUUACGACCAGGGCUACACACGUGCUACAAUGGCGCAUACAAAGAGAAGCGACCUCGCGAGAGCAAGCGGACCUCAUAAAGUGCGUCGUAGUCCGGAUUGGAGUCUGCAACUCGACUCCAUGAAGUCGGAAUCGCUAGUAAUCGUGGAUCAGAAUGCCACGGUGAAUACGUUCCCGGGCCUUGUACACACCGCCCGUCACACCAUGGGAGUGGGUUGCAAAAGAAGUAGGUAGCUUAACCUUCGGGAGGGCGCUUACCACUUUGUGAUUCAUGACUGGGGUGAAGUCGUAACAAGGUAACCGUAGGGGAACCUGCGGUUGGAUCACCUCCUU
rnacentral:rRNA from 1 species